AAAGCAAAUGCACGUCCCAAUGGCCAGCAGCGUACUGGGCAACCUAGAGAGCCCAGGUUCGAGCAACGUUACGCGCAAGAGGGUGCUUCUCUUUGCUGUACGAGCGUGGGGAGGACCAUACAGGAUUGAAACUCUACCAGCAAUAGGAGUCGGCUGAGCGGUGGACUGUUGCUAAGUUUGAAUUAAAUCCAAACUUUGAAUUUGGCCAGGAGAUAAGGAAGGAAUUAAAAUUGGAAA
rnacentral:lncRNA from 1 species